rnacentral:rRNA from 1 species
GACGAACGCUGGCGGCGUGCUUAACACAUGCAAGUCGAACGGAAAGGCCCUGCUUUUGUGGGGUGCUCGAGUGGCGAACGGGUGAGUAACACGUGAGUAACCUGCCCUUGACUUUGGGAUAACUUCAGGAAACUGGGGCUAAUACCGGAUAGGAGCUCCUGCUGCAUGGGGGGGGUUGGAAAGUUUUGGCGGUUGGGGAUGGACUCGCGGCUUAUCAGCUUGUUGGUGGGGUAGUGGCUUACCAAGGCUUUGACGGGUAGCCGGCCUGAGAGGGUGACCGGCCACAUUGGGACUGAGAUACGGCCCAGACUCCUACGGGAGGCAGCAGUGGGGAAUAUUGCACAAUGGGCGGAAGCCUGAUGCAGCAACGCCGCGUGCGGGAUGACGGCCUUCGGGUUGUAAACCGCUUUCGCCUGUGACGAAGCGUGAGUGACGGUAAUGGGUAAAGAAGCACCGGCUAACUACGUG